rnacentral:rRNA from 1 species
UGAGGAAUAUUGGUCAAUGGGCGAGAGCCUGAACCAGCCAAGUAGCGUGCAGGAAGACGGCCCUAUGGGUUGUAAACUGCUUUUAUACGGGGAUAAAGUGGGCCACGUGUGGCUUAUUGCAGGUACCGUAUGAAUAAGGACCGGCUAAUUCCGUGCCAGCAGCCGCGGUAAUACGGAAGGUCCGGGCGUUAUCCGGAUUUAUUGGGUUUAAAGGGAGCGUAGGCCGUCUGUUAAGCGUGUUGUGAAAUGUCGGGGCUCAACCUGGGCAUUGCAGCGCGAACUGGCAGACUUGAGUGCGCAGGAAGUAGGCGGAAUUCGUCGUGUAGCGGUGAAAUGCUUAGAUAUGACGAAGAACUCCGAUUGCGAAGGCAGCCUGCUGUAGCGUAACUGACGCUGAAGCUCGAAAGCGUGGGUAUCGAACAGG